rnacentral:rRNA from 1 species
UACAUAGGGUGCAAACGUUGCUCGGAAUUAUUGGGCGUAAAGCGCGCGUAAACGGUUACUUAAGUCGGAUGUGAAAGCCCUCGGCUUAACUGAGGAAAUGCACCCGAAACUGAGUAGCUAGAGUACGAAAGAGGGUCGCGGAAUUCCCGGUGUAGAGGUGAAAUUCGUAGAUAUCAAGAGGAACACCGGUGGCGAAGGCGGCGACCUGAGUCGAGACUGACGCUGAGGCGCGAAAGCGUGGGGAGCAAACAGG